rnacentral:misc_RNA from 1 species
GUGAAACUCAACCCCAUCAAACUCAACAGCCUUCAUUGCUGCCUUUUCUGCAGUUGAGCCUCCAUAUAUCACAAACCCAAAUCCCUUAUUCAUUUCUGUCUCAUGAUGACCCUUUAUCAAAAUCACAUUCUUGAUAGGCCCAAAUUGUCUAAAGAACUCAGUAAGCUCCUUCUUCUUAACCCAAAUUGGUAAAUUCCCAAUAAAGACUUUCCCUUUUUCCCUAAAUUCACUACUUUUUUGCAUUUCUUCAACAUCUGAACCGUCUAAAUCACUCUCAUCUCCUUCAGUGGGGGGACUCGGUGGUGCGGAUGGGGGUGGGGGUGGGGGUGGUGAGAGUUUGUUAGAUAACCAAAGCUUGUUACUGAGGAUUGGUGGUGAUGAAGUGUUAGGAGGGGAACUAAGGAGAAGUUUUAAGGGGUUUUUGGAAAAUGCGAGAUUCUGAGAAUGAGUGGUGAUAUCAGGGGGCUUAUUGGUGGUGGGGCGGCGGAGGCUGGUGGAGGUGGUGGGUUUUUCAGGGGAGUCAGAGGAUGAUUUGAGGAAGAGGAUGCAGGUGGUGGAGGGAUGAUGUUUUCCGGCGAGAAUGGAGGUGGCGAAGGGUGGCGGAGAUGGAGAGUAGUGUGCGGUGGAAGAGAGGGAGAAGAUAAUGCUGUCCAUUAUCAUCAACUCCACUGAGAGAGCUCAACACUGUG